AGUUUACAUUAGAAUUAUUUAUUUGCUUUUGAAAAAUGCAUAAACAUACUAUUUUAGUCACCUCAGGCUGCCAUAACAAAAUACCCUAAACCGUGCGGCUUAAACAACAGGAAUCUAUUUUCUCACAGUUCUCGAGGCUGGGAAAUCCAAGAUCAAGGAUUGGUUGAUUGCCCCCCAGUUUGCCUCCUGGUGAAUACUCUGUUCCCAUUUUGUCGAUUUCUUGGAGAGUGAGAGAGAGUGAGCUCUGGUGUUUCUUCAUCUUCCUAUAUGGUACCAACCCUAUCAGAUUAGGACCCCACACUUAUAGCCUCAUUUAACCUUAAUUAUUGCCUUAUAGGUCCCAUCUGCAAUACAGUCAACACUGGGGACUAGGGCGUCAACAUCAGAAUUUUGAGGUAGACACAGUUUAGUGCACAGCACAUACUUCCAGAAUUUUGCUUUUAGAAAAUGUAAAAAUAUUUUACAAUAUUGAUAAUUGUAAAAACCUUUAUUUAGUGAUUAACAUGAGCCAGGCACUAUGAUGUUUUAUAAAUGUUUUCUUAUUUAAUCUUUACAACCAAUGAGAUAAAUUCAAUUAUACAGUAAAGAUUCCAACACAGACAAUUCUCUUAGCUACUA
rnacentral:lncRNA from 10 species